UAAGGAAUAUUGGUCAAUGGAGGCAACUCUGAACCAGCCAUGCCGCGUGCAGGAAGACAGCCCUCUGGGUCGUAAACUGCUUUUAUUCGGGAAUAAACCUCAUUACGUGUAAUGAGCUGAAUGUACCGAAGGAAUAAGGAUCGGCUAACUCCGUGCCAGCAGCCGCGGUAAUACGGAGGGUGCGAGCGUUGUCCGGAUUUAUUGGGCGUAAAGAGCUCGUAGGCGGUUUGUCGCGUCGGCCGUGAAACUCAACGCUUAACGUUGAGCUUGCGGUCGAUACGGGCAGACUUGAGUUCGGUAGGGGAGACUGGAAUUCCUGGUGUAGCGGUGAAAUGCGCAGAUAUCAGGAGGAACACCGGUGGCGAAGGCGGGUCUCUGGGCCGAUACUGACGCUGAGGAGCGAAAGCGUGGGGAGCGAACAGGAUUAGAUACCC
rnacentral:rRNA from 1 species